rfam:Anaerofustis stercorihominis DSM 17244 Scfld_02_4 genomic scaffold, whole genome shotgun sequence.
GGGCUUGUAGCUCAGGUGGUUAGAGCGCACGCCUGAUAAGCGUGAGGUCGGAGGUUCGAGUCCUCCCAGGCCCA